rnacentral:rRNA from 1 species
UACAGAGGUGGCAAGCGUUGUUCGGAAUUACUGGGCGUAAAGGGCGCGUAGGCGGUCUUGUAAGUCUUGUGUGAAAUCCCUCGGCUCAACUGAGGAACUGCACGGGAUACUGCGAGACUUGAGUUCGGGAGAGGGAAGCGGAAUUCCGGGUGUAGCGGUGAAAUGCGUUGAGAUCGGAAGGAACGCCCGUGGCGAAAGCGAGGUCCUGGACCCUUUCUGACGCUGAGACGCGAAAGCCAG